CGCAAUUACAUUUAAUUGAAUAAAGCAAAGCAAAUAGGACAGAACCACACCUAAGCAGUAAUUGGUUAUGUGGGCUUUAUCUUCUCUAGCAACUUCUCAGCUUCAAUAAACCCAAGUGGUCCUAAAGACAGGUAUUUUAUACGUUUCCAUCUGGGUUUGAAGGGUAAUGCCAGACAAUGGAGGUGCAAAUGGUUAACACUGUUCAAUGGAGGCCUGUACUGUUUCGAUUGAGGAGCAUCUCGGUGUAAUAGCAUUUGCCCCACAUUUAACAUGUGGUUUACCAAAGUGUAAUCUUCUUCUCUCCUCUGGAGAUUCCUGACAGUUGAAAUGUGCUCCACAGGAAUCACCAAGUAAUGCCUGGAAGCAGCAGGUUUGAUAUCUUGAAAUGCGAGAACCUUGUCAUCAGAGUGAAGGAGAGUGGUGGAUGUGGAGUUGUGGACAAUCUGACAGAAGAUACAGGAUGAAACCGCUCCGGCCAUCUGCCCUAAUUGGAAGAUCAAGCUCCCAAAUCACUCGUUGGCUUAUUGAAUCGAU
rnacentral:misc_RNA from 1 species